GAUGAACGCUGGCGGCGUGCCUAAUACAUGCAAGUCGAGCGAACAGACGAGGAGCUUGCUCCUCUGACGUUAGCGGCGGACGGGUGAGUAACACGUGGAUAACCUACCUAUAAGACUGGGAUAACUUCGGGAAACCGGAGCUAAUACCGGAUAAUAUAUUGAACCGCAUGGUUCAAUAGUGAAAGACGGUUUUGCUGUCACUUAUAGAUGGAUCCGCGCCGCAUUAGCUAGUUCGUAAGGUAACGGCUUACCAAGGCGACGAUGCGUAGCCGACCUGAGAGGGUGAUCGGCCACACUGGAACUGAGACACGGUCCAGACUCCUACGGGAGGCAGCAGUAGGGAAUCUUCCGCAAUGGGCGAAAGCCUGACGGAGCAACGCCGCGUGAGUGAUGAAGGUCUUCGGAUCGUAAAACUCUGUUAUUAGGGAAGGACAAAUGUGUAAGUAACUAUGCACGUCUUGACGGUACCUAAUCAGAAAGCCACGGCUAACUACGUG
rnacentral:rRNA from 1 species